AUUGAACGCUGGCGGCAUGCCUUACACAUGCAAGUCGAACGGCAGCACGGGAGCAAUCCUGGUGGCGAGUGGCGAACGGGUGAGUAAUAUAUCGGAACGUGCCCAGUCGUGGGGGAUAACGCAGCGAAAGCUGUGCUAAUACCGCAUACGAUCUAUGGAUGAAAGCGGGGGAUCGCAAGACCUCGCGCGAUUGGAGCGGCCGAUAUCAGAUUAGCUAGUUGGUGAGGUAAAGGCUCACCAAGGCGACGAUCUGUAGCUGGUCUGAGAGGACGACCAGCCACACUGGAACUGAGACACGGUCCAGACUCCUACGGGAGGCAGCAGUGGGGAAUUUUGGACAAUGGGCGAAAGCCUGAUCCAGCAAUGCCGCGUGCAGGAUGAAGGCCUUCGGGUUGUAAACUGCUUUUGUACGGAACGAAACGGUGAGCUCUAAUACAGUUUGCUAAUGACGGUACCGUAAGAAUAAGCACCGGCUAACUACGUGCCAGCCGCCGCAGUAAAAC
rnacentral:rRNA from 1 species